rnacentral:rRNA from 1 species
UACGUAGGCAGCAAGCGUUGUUCGGAGUUACUGGGCGUAAAGGGUGCGUAGGCGGCCUUAUAAGUCUGGUGUGAAAUCUCCCGGCUUAACUGGGAGGGUGCGCUAUAGACUGUGGGGCUAGAGUGUGGGAGAGGAAAGUGGAAUUCCUGGUGUAGCGGUGAAAUGCGUAGAUAUCGUUUGGAACGCCAAGGGUGAAAACAGGUUGCUGGGGAGGUGCUGACGCUGAGACACGAAAGCCAGGGGAGCAAACAGG